rnacentral:rRNA from 1 species
GGUUAAGCGACUAAGCGUACACGGUGGAUGCCCUGGCAGUCAGAGGCGAUGAAGGACGUGCUAAUCUGCGAUAAGCGUCGGUAAGGUGAUAUGAACCGUUAUAACCGGCGAUUUCCGAAUGGGGAAACCCAGUGUGUUUCGACACACUAUCAUUAACUGAAUCCAUAGGUUAAUGAGGCGAACCGGGGGAACUGAAACAUCUAAGUACCCCGAGGAAAAGAAAUCAACCGAGAUUCCCCCAGUAGCGGCGAGCGAACGGGGAGCAGCCCAGAGCCUGAAUCAGUGUGUGUGUUAGUGGAAGCGUCUGGAAAGGCGCGCGAUACAGGGUGACAGCCCCGUACACAAAAAUACACAUACUGUGAGCUCGAUGAGUAGGGCGGGACACGUGGUAUCCUGUCUGAAUAUGGGGGGACCAUCCUCCAAGGCUAAAUACUCCUGACUGACCGAUAGUGAACCAGUACCGUGAGGGAAAGGCGAAAAGAACCCCGGCGAGGGGAGUGAAAAAGAACCUGAAACCGUGUACGUACAAGCAGUGGGAGCACGCUUAGGCGUGUGACUGCGUACCUUUUGUAUAAUGGGUCAGCGACUUAUAUUCUGUAGCAAGGUUAACCGAAUAGGGGAGCCGAAGGGAAACCGAGUCUUAACUGGGCGUUAAGUUGCAGGGUAUAGACCCGAAACCCGGUGAUCUAGCCAUGGGCAGGUUGAAGGUUGGGUAACACUAACUGGAGGACCGAACCGACUAAUGUUGAAAAAUUAGCGGAUGACUUGUGGCUGGGGGUGAAAGGCCAAUCAAACCGGGAGAUAGCUGGUUCUCCCCGAAAGCUAUUUAGGUAGCGCCUCGUGAAUUCAUCUCCGGGGGUAGAGCACUGUUUCGGCAAGGGGGUCAUCCCGACUUACCAACCCGAUGCAAACUGCGAAUACCGGAGAAUGUUAUCACGGGAGACACACGGCGGGUGCUAACGUCCGUCGUGAAGAGGGAAACAACCCAGACCGCCAGCUAAGGUCCCAAAGUCAUGGUUAAGUGGGAAACGAUGUGGGAAGGCCCAGACAGCCAGGAUGUUGGCUUAGAAGCAGCCAUCAUUUAAAGAAAGCGUAAUAGCUCACUGGUCGAGUCGGCCUGCGCGGAAGAUGUAACGGGGCUAAACCAUGCACCGAAGCUGCGGCAGCGACGCUUAUGCGUUGUUGGGUAGGGGAGCGUUCUGUAAGCCUGUGAAGGUGUACUGUGAGGUAUGCUGGAGGUAUCAGAAGUGCGAAUGCUGACAUAAGUAACGAUAAAGCGGGUGAAAAGCCCGCUCGCCGGAAGACCAAGGGUUCCUGUCCAACGUUAAUCGGGGCAGGGUGAGUCGACCCCUAAGGCGAGGCCGAAAGGCGUAGUCGAUGGGAAACAGGUUAAUAUUCCUGUACUUGGUGUUACUGCGAAGGGGGGACGGAGAAGGCUAUGUUGGCCGGGCGACGGUUGUCCCGGUUUAAGCGUGUAGGCUGGUUUUCCAGGCAAAUCCGGAAAAUCAAGGCUGAGGCGUGAUGACGAGGCACUACGGUGCUGAAGCAACAAAUGCCCUGCUUCCAGGAAAAGCCUCUAAGCAUCAGGUAACAUCAAAUCGUACCCCAAACCGACACAGGUGGUCAGGUAGAGAAUACCAAGGCGCUUGAGAGAACUCGGGUGAAGGAACUAGGCAAAAUGGUGCCGUAACUUCGGGAGAAGGCACGCUGAUAUGUAGGUGAAGUCCCUCGCGGAUGGAGCUGAAAUCAGUCGAAGAUACCAGCUGGCUGCAACUGUUUAUUAAAAACACAGCACUGUGCAAACACGAAAGUGGACGUAUACGGUGUGACGCCUGCCCGGUGCCGGAAGGUUAAUUGAUGGGGUCAGCGCAAGCGAAGCUCUUGAUCGAAGCCCCGGUAAACGGCGGCCGUAACUAUAACGGUCCUAAGGUAGCGAAAUUCCUUGUCGGGUAAGUUCCGACCUGCACGAAUGGCGUAAUGAUGGCCAGGCUGUCUCCACCCGAGACUCAGUGAAAUUGAACUCGCUGUGAAGAUGCAGUGUACCCGCGGCAAGACGGAAAGACCCCGUGAACCUUUACUAUAGCUUGACACUGAACAUUGAGCCUUGAUGUGUAGGAUAGGUGGGAGGCUUUGAAGUGUGGACGCCAGUCUGCAUGGAGCCGACCUUGAAAUACCACCCUUUAAUGUUUGAUGUUCUAACGUUGACCCGUAAUCCGGGUUGCGGACAGUGUCUGGUGGGUAGUUUGACUGGGGCGGUCUCCUCCUAAAGAGUAACGGAGGAGCACGAAGGUUGGCUAAUCCUGGUCGGACAUCAGGAGGUUAGUGCAAUGGCAUAAGCCAGCUUGACUGCGAGCGUGACGGCGCGAGCAGGUGCGAAAGCAGGUCAUAGUGAUCCGGUGGUUCUGAAUGGAAGGGCCAUCGCUCAACGGAUAAAAGGUACUCCGGGGAUAACAGGCUGAUACCGCCCAAGAGUUCAUAUCGACGGCGGUGUUUGGCACCUCGAUGUCGGCUCAUCACAUCCUGGGGCUGAAGUAGGUCCCAAGGGUAUGGCUGUUCGCCAUUUAAAGUGGUACGCGAGCUGGGUUUAGAACGUCGUGAGACAGUUCGGUCCCUAUCUGCCGUGGGCGCUGGAGAACUGAGGGGGGCUGCUCCUAGUACGAGAGGACCGGAGUGGACGCAUCACUGGUGUUCGGGUUGUCAUGCCAAUGGCACUGCCCGGUAGCUAAAUGCGGAAGAGAUAAGUGCUGAAAGCAUCUAAGCACGAAACUUGCCCCGAGAUGAGUUCUCCCUGACUCCUUGAGAGUCCUGAAGGAACGUUGAAGACGACGACGUUGAUAGGCCGGGUGUGUAAGCGCAGCGAUGCGUUGAGCUAACCGGUACUAAUGAACCGUGAGGCUUAACCUU